CGGCCGGUGUCCUGACAUUCCAUCCUACCCGUCAGAUUGUCCUACCAAGGCUUACUGCGCAUGCGCACAUCAAUUUUGCGUCAUUUUUGUCACGCUGAACAACACGCCCAUAAUAUUUUACUACUUGCGUGAGAACUUCUUCAUCUGAGCUAUGGAAGAUAAGUGGGAAGCACUGUAUAAUCUUCUGUCAGUGGGAUCGUACCCAUCAGGGUAUGAUAAGUCCAAAAGGCAGAACAUUAGAAGAUAUGCACUUAAAUUCAACCUAAAGGAUGGAGAGCUUUUUUAUGGAAGCAAAAGAGUGAUAAAAACCAAAGAGGAAGCCAGGAUGCUCUUUGAAGAAUUCCAUUCCUCGCCCAUUGGUGGACACACUGGGAUUGGUAAAACACGUGCUGCCAUCUGUGCCAGAUUUUACUGGCAUGGCAUGUCAGUUGACAUUGAAAAUUGGGUAUUGGAAUGUGAUCAAUGUCAAAAAGUUGGAAAGCCUUUGACUGCUGUGCAGACCUUACAGUGCAUCAAGGUAAAUAAGUGCAGUAACAUACAGUAUACAUAUACUAAACCUACUUUAUACACACUAAACUUACUUUACAUUUGGUGGACUUGAUAGGUUUCUGCUGUUUGGGAGCUUGUUGGCAUUGAUUUAACUGGACCAUUACCUGAAACUG